rnacentral:misc_RNA from 1 species
GAUGAAGAACGCAGCGAAAUGCGAUAAGUAAUGUGAAUUGCAGAAUUCAGUGAAUCAUCGAAUCUUUGAACGCACAUUGCGCCCGCCAGUAUUCUGGCGGGCAUGCCUGUCCGAGCGUCAUUUCAACCCUCGAACCCCUCCGGGGGGUCGGCGUUGGGGAUCGGCCCUCCCUUAGCGGGUGGCCGUCUCCGAAAUACAGUGGCGGUCUCGCCGCAGCCUCUCCUGCGCAGUAGUUUGCACACUCGCAUCGGGAGCGCGGCGCGUCCACAGCCGUUAAACAUCCAACUUCUGAAAUGUUGACCUCGGAUCAGGUAGGAAUACCCGCUGAACUUAAGCAUAUCAAUAAGCGGAGGA